rnacentral:rRNA from 1 species
GACGAACGCUGGCGGCGUGCCUAACACAUGCAAGUCGAACGGAGAUACGAUUUCGGUUGUAUCUUAGUGGCGAACGGGUGAGUAACGCGUGAGCAACCUGACCUUUAGAGGGGGAUAACACUUGGAAACAGGUGCUAAUACCGCAUAAGACCACGACCCGACAUCGGGAUGAGGUCAAAGGAGUAAUCCGCUAGAGGAGGGGCUCGCGUCCCAUUAGAUAGAUGGCGGGGUAACGGCCCACCAUGUCGACGAUGGGUAGCCGAGCUGAGAGGCUGAUCGGCCACACUGGAACUGAGACACGGUCCAGACUCCUACGGGAGGCAGCAGUGGGGAAUAUUGGGCAAUGGGCGCAAGCCUGACCCAGCAACGCCGCGUGAGGGAAGAAGGCCUUCGGGUUGUAAACCUCUGUCCUUGGUGACGAAAAAAUGACGGUAGCCAAGGAGGAAGCCCCGGCUAACUACGUGCCAGCAGCCGCGGUAACGAGUACUCUAU